GAUGAACGCUGGCGGCGUGCCUAAUACAUGCAAGUCGAGCGAACAGACGAGGAGCUUGCUCCUCUGACGUUAGCGGCGGACGGGUGAGUAACACGUGGAUAACCUACCUAUAAGACUGGGAUAACUUCGGGAAACCGGAGCUAAUACCGGAUAAUAUAUUGAACCGCAUGGUUCAAUAGUGAAAGACGGUUUUGCUGUCACUUAUAGAUGGAUCCGCGCCGCAUUAGCUAGUUGGUAAGGUAACGGCUUACCAAGGCAACGAUGCUUAGCCGACCUGAGAGGGUGAUCGGCCACACUGGAACUGAGAAACGGUCCAGACCCCUAGGGGAGGCAGCAGUAGGGAAUCUUCCGCAAUGGGCGAAAGCCUGACGGAGCAACGCGGGGGGAGUGAUGAAGGUCUUCGGAUCGUAAAACUCUGUUAUUAGGGAAGAACAAAUGUGUAAGUAACUAUGCACGUCUGGACGGUACCUAAUCAGAAAGCCACGGCUAACUACGU
rnacentral:rRNA from 1 species